CUACGGGAGGCAGCAGUGGGGAAUAUUGGACAAUGGGGGAAACCCUGAUCCAGCAAUGCCGCGUGUGUGAAGAAGGCCUGCGGGUUGUAAAGCACUUUCGGUUGGGAGGACUGCUUCUAGCACUAAUAUUGUUGGAAGUUGACGUUACCUUCAGAAGAAGCACCGGCUAACUCCGUGCCAGCAGCCGCGGUAAUACGGAGGGUGCAUGCGUUAAUCGGAAUUACUGGGCGUAAAGCGCGCGUAGGCGGCUAGAUCAGUCGGGUGUGAAAGCCCCGGGCUUAACCUGGGAACUGCAUCCGAUACUGUCUAGCUUGAGUACAGGAGAGGAGAGUGGAAUUCCACAUGUAGCGGUGAAAUGCGUAGAUAUGUGGAGGAACACCAAUGGCGAAGGCAGCUCUCUGGCCUGAUACUGACGCUGAGGUGCGAAAGCGUGGGGAGCAAACAGGAUUAGAUACCCCCGUAGUC
rnacentral:rRNA from 1 species